GAUGAACGCUGGCGGCGUGCCUAAUACAUGCAAGUCGAGCGAACGGACGAGAAGCUUGCUUCUCUGAUGUUAGCGGCGGACGGGUGAGUAACACGUGGAUAACCUACCUAUAAGACUGGGAUAACUUCGGGAAACCGGAGCUAAUACCGGAUAAUAUUUUGAACCGCAUGGUUCAAAAGUGAAAGACGGUCUUGCUGUCACUUAUAGAUGGAUCCGCGCUGCAUUAGCUAGUUGGUAAGGUAACGGCUUACCAAGGCAACGAUGCAUAGCCGACCUGAGAGGGUGAUCGGCCACACUGGAACUGAGACACGGUCCAGACUCCUACGGGAGGCAGCAUUAGGGAAUCUUCCGCAAAGGGCGAAAGCCUGACGGAGCAACGCCGCGUGGGUGAUGAAGGUCUUCGGAUCGUAAAACUCUGUUAUUAGGGAAGAACAUAUGUGUAAGUAACUGUGCACAUCUUGACGUUACCUAAUCAGAAAGCCACGGCUAACUACGUG
rnacentral:rRNA from 1 species